UACGUAGGGUGCAAGCGUUGUCCGGAAUUAUUGGGCGUAAAGAGCUUGUAGGCGGUUUGUCGCGUCUGCUGUGAAAUUUCGGGGCUCAACCCCGAACUUGCAGUGGGUACGGGCAGACUAGAGUGCGGUAGGGGAGAUCGGAAUUCCUGGUGUAGCGGUGAAAUGCGCAGAUAUCAGGAAGAACACCCGUGGCGAAGGCGGCUCUCUGGGACGGUACUGACGCUGAGACGCGAAAGCGUGGGGAGCGAACAGG
rnacentral:rRNA from 1 species